GUGCCAGCAGCCGCGGUAAUACGUAGGUGGCAAGCGUUAUCCGGAAUGAUUGGGCGUAAAGGGUGCGCAGGCUGCAUGCCAAGUCUGAAGUGAAAGGUACGGGCUUAACCUGUAUAUGCUUCGGAAACUGGCAGGCUAGAGGACAGGAGAGGGCGGUGGAACUCCAUGUGUAGCGGUAAAAUGCGUAGAUAUAUGGAAGAACACCAGUUGCGAAGGCGGCCGCCUGGACUGUUACUGACGUUCAUGCACGAAAGCGUGGGGAGCAAAUAGGAUUAGAUACCCUAGUAGUCCACGCCCUAAACGAUGAGGAGCAGGUGUCGGAGGGAAUACCCCGGUGCCGAAGCUAACGCAAUGACUCCUCCGCCUGGGGAGUAUGCACGCAAGUGUGAA
rnacentral:rRNA from 1 species